AUUGAACGCUGGCGGCAUGCCUUACACAUGCAAGUCGAACGGCAGCGGACCUUCGGGUGCCGGCGAGUGGCGAACGGGUGAGUAAUGUAUCGGAACGUACCUUUCAGUGGGGGAUAACGUAGCGAAAGUUACGCUAAUACCGCAUAUUCUGUGAGCAGGAAAGCAGGGGAUCGCAAGACCUUGCGCUGAUUGAGCGGCCGAUAUCAGAUUAGCUAGUUGGUGAGGUAAAGGCUCACCAAGGCGACGAUCUGUAGCGGGUCUGAGAGGAUGAUCCCCACACUGGAACUGAGACACGGUCCAGACUCCUACGGGAGGCAGCAGUGGGGAAUUUUGGACAAUGGGGGCAACCCUGAUCCAGCCAUGCCGCGUGAGUGAAGAAGGCCUUCGGGUUGUAAAGCUCUUUCGUCCGGGAAGAAAUCGCAUCAGCUAAUACCUGGUGUGGAUGACGGUACCGGAAUAAGAAGCACCGGCUAACUACGUGCCAGCAGCCGCGGUAACAC
rnacentral:rRNA from 1 species